rnacentral:rRNA from 1 species
CCUACGGGUGGCAGCAGUGGGGAAUAUUGGACAAUGGGGGGAACCCUGAUCCAGCCAUGCCGCGUGUGUGAAGAAGGCCCUCGGGUUGUAAAGCACUUUCAGUGAGGAAGAACGCCUGGUGGUUAAUACCCAUCAGGAAAGACAUCACUCACAGAAGAAGCACCGGCUAACUCCGUGCCAGCAGCCGCGAUAAUACGGAGGGUGCGAGCGUUAAUCGGAAUUACUGGGCGUAAAGCGCGCGUAGGUGGCUUGAUAAGCCGGUUGUGAAAGCCCCGGGCUCAACCUGGGAACGGCAUCCGGAACUGUCAAGCUAGAGUGCAGGAGAGGAAGGUAGAAUUCCCGGUGUAGCGGUGAAAUGCGUAGAGAUCGGGAGGAAUACCAGUGGCGAAGGCGGCCUUCUGGACUGACACUGACACUGAGGUGCGAAAGCGUGGGUAGCAAACAGGAUUAGAUACCCCAGUAGUC